GCAAUACGGAGCGGCAGACGGGAGAGUAACACGUGGGAACGUGCCCUUCAGUUCGGAACAACCCAGGGAAACUUGGGCUAAUACCGGAUACGUCCGUAAGGAGAAAGAUUUAUCGUUGAAGGAUCGGCCCGCGUCUGAUUAGCUAGUUGGUGGGGUAAUGGCCCACCAAGGCGACGAUCAGUAGCUGGUCUGAGAGGAUGAUCAGCCUCACUGGGACUGAGACACGGCCCAGACUCCUACGGGAGGCAGCAGUGGGGAAUAUUGGACAAUGGGCGCAAGCCUGAUCCAGCCAUGCCGCGUGGGUGAUGAAGGCCCUAGGG
rnacentral:rRNA from 1 species